rnacentral:rRNA from 1 species
UACGAAGGGUGCUAGCGUUGUUCGGAAUCACUGGGCGUAAAGCGCGCGUAGGUGGCUUUUCAAGUCAGGGGUGAAAUCCCACGGCUCAACCGUGGAACUGCCUCUGAAACUGUAAAGCUUGAGUGUCGGAGGGGAUAGCGGAAUUGCUAAUGUAGAGGUGAAAUUCGUAGAUAUUAGCAGGAACACCGGUGGCGAAGGCGGCUAUCUGGACGACAACUGACACUGAGGCGCGAAAGCGCGGGGAUCAAACAGG